GACGUAGGGUGCAAGCGUUGUCCGGAUUUAUUGGGCGUAAAGAGCUCGUAGGCGGCUUGUUGCGUCGACUGUGAAAACCCGCGGCUUAACCGCGGGCUUGCAGUUGAUACGGGCAGGCUAGAGUUCGGUAGGGGAGACUGGAAUUCCUGGUGUAGCGGUGAAAUGCGUAGAUAUCUGGAAGAACACCAGUGGCGAAGGCGGUCAACUGGCCCGAAACUGACGCUGAGGCACGAAAGCGUGGGUAGCAAACAGG
rnacentral:rRNA from 1 species